rnacentral:rRNA from 1 species
UUAAGCUACUAAGGGCAAAUGGUGGAUGCCUUGGCGAUGACCGGCGAGGAAGGACGUGGCAAGCUGCGAUAAGCUGCGCGAAGCCGCUAACAGGCAUUGAUGCGCAGAUUUCCGAAUGGGGAAACCCUAAACACCCUCUAUGAGGGAGCGAACUCAGGGAAGUGAAACAUCUCAGUACCUGAAGGAAAAGAAAGUAAUAACGAUUCCGUAAGUAGCGGUGAGCGAAACCGGAAGAGCCUAAACCUAGCUUUCGGGCUAGGGGUUGUGGGGCCUGCAACAUGUACGCAUGAAUCUAGUAGAACAGUCUGGAAAGGCUGACCAAAGAGGGUGAUAGUCCCGUAUGCGAAAGUGAAUUGCGGCUAGCGGUGUCCCCGAGUACCACGGAGAAUGAGAAGCUUUGUGGGAAUCUGGGAGGACCAUCUCCUAAGGCUAAAUACGUGUCAUCGACCGAUAGUGAACCAGUACCGUGAGGGAAAGGUGAAAAGAACCCUUGUUAAGGGAGUGAAAUAGAACCUGAAACCAUUUGCCUACAAGCCGUCAAAGCAUCUUAUGAUGUAAUGUCGUGCCUUUUGCAUAAUGAGCCUGCGAGUUAUCGUAUGCAGCAAGGUUAAGCAGUUAUGCGCAGCCGUAGGGAAACCGAGUCUUAAUAGGGCGCAAGUUGCAUGCGGUAGACCCGAAGCCAGACGAUCUAUCCAUGGGCAGGAUGAAGUAACUGUAAUAGGUUAUGGAGGUCCGAACCGGUAAACGUUGAAAAGUUUUCGGAUGACCUGUGGAUAGGGGUGAAAGGCCAAUCAAGUUUGGUGAUAGCUGGUUCUCCUCGAAAUGCAUUUAGGUGCAGCCUUAUGCGUUCCCUGUUGGGGGUAGAGCACUGUUUUGGCUAGGGGGCAUACCGCUUACCGAACCUUGACAAACUCCGAAUACUGACAGGUUAGAGCAUGGGAGUGAGACUGCGGGUGAGAAGGUCCGUAGUCGAGAGGGUAAGAGCCCAGACCGCCGGCUAAGGUCCCGGAGUGUAUGCUAAGUGGUAAAGGAUGUGAGAAUACUGAAACAGCCAGGAGGUUGGCUUAGAAGCAGCCAUCCUUUAAAGAAAGCGUAACAGCUCACUGGUCUAGUGUUUUUGCGCCGAAGAUAUAGCGGGGCUAAGCAUACCACCGAAGCCGCGGACUAGUAUUUAUACUAGUGGUAGAGGAGCAUUCUGCACAGCUUUGAAGGUAAUGCGGCAAGCAUUGCUGGAGCGUGUUGAAGAGAUAAUGCAGGCAUUAGUAGCGAUAAAAAGGGUGAGAAACCCUUUCGCCGAAAACCUAAGGUUUCCACCGGCAGGGUAAUCCGCGGUGGGUUAGUCGGCCCCUAAGGCGAGGGUGAAAACCGUAGUCGAUGGGAAACAGGUCAACAUUCCUGUACCUGUAUAUGUGCGUUUGACGAUGUGGUGACGGAGAAGGUUAGGCAGUCCGGGUGUUGGACGUCCCGGUUUAAGGUUGUAGGGAGUUCCGGUAGGCAAAUCCGCUGGAAUAAUUCUGAGAACUGAUGACGAGUCUUUGUAAUGAAGAUGAAGCUGUUGAUACCAUGCUUCCGAGAAAAACCUCUAAGGAGUACAUAGCAGACCGUACCGCAAACCGACACAGGUAGGUAGGGAGAGAAUCCCAAGGCGUUCGAGAUAACUCCAGUUAAGGAACUCGGCAAAAUGCCACCGUAACUUAGGGAUAAGGUGGGCUCCUAGUAAUUGAAUGGACUUGCUCCAGUAGGUGAAAGGAGUUGCAGAUGAGAGGCCCAGGCGACUGUUUAUCAAAAACACAGCACUCUGCUAACUGGCAACAGGAUGUAUAGGGUGUGACGCCUGCCCGGUGCUGGAAGGUUAAUAGGAGAUGUCAGCGCAAGCAAAGCAUUGAAACGGCGGCCGUAACUAUAACGGUCCUAAGGUAGCGAAAUUCCUUGUCGGGUAAGUUCCGACCUGCACGAAUGGCGUAACGAUCUGGGCGCUGUCUCAACUGGAAUCUCGGCGAAGUUGCAUUAGCGGUGAAAAUGCCGUUUACCCGCAGCAGGACGGAAAGACCCCGUGCACCUUUACUACAGCUUGGCAAUGAUAUUUGGUAUUAAAUGUGUAGGAUAGGUGGGAGACGUAGAGACGUGGACGCUAGUUUGCGUGGAGUCGCCCUUGAAAUACCACCCUUUUGGUGCUGAAUAUCUAACCUGGACGGUGUGUAGCCGUAGGGACAUUGUCUGGCGGGUAGUUUGACUGGGGCGGUCGCCUCCGAAAGAGUAACAGAGGCGCGCGAAGGUAUCCUCAGGUUGGUCGGAAACCAACUGUCGAGUGUAAAAGUAUAAGGAUGCUUGACUGCGAGACCUACAAGUCGAGCAGGUGCGAAAGCAGGCUUUAGUGAUCCGGUGGUUCCGCAUGGAAGGGCCAUCGCUCAACGGAUAAAAGGUACGCCGGGGAUAACAGGCUGAUCUCCCCCAAGAGUUCACAUCGACGGGGAGGUUUGGCACCUCGAUGUCGGCUCAUCACAUCCUGGGGCUGAAGUAGGUCCCAAGGGUACGGCUGUUCGCCGUUUAAAGUGGUACGCGAGCUGGGUUCAGAACGUCGUGAGACAGUUCGGUCCUUAUCCGCUGCGGGCGCAGGAGAUUUGAUGGGAUCUGACCCUAGUACGAGAGGACCGGGUUGGACAGACCUCUGGUGCGUGGAUUGUUCCGCCAGGAGCACGGUCCAGUAGCCAAGUCUGGAAUAGAUAACCGCUGAAAGCAUCUAAGCGGGAAACUAACCUAAAGAUAAGAUCUCCCCUGAGCGCACUUGGAGACUACAAGAUUGAUAGGCUGGGUGUGUAAGCACUGUGAGGUGUUGAGCUAACCAGUACUAAUAGCGCGAUGGGCUUAGCGUA